GACGACGACAAACCGGAAGUGAAAUGACCCACUUGAAAGCUACUGCGCAUGUUUUUUCCUGAGAUUGCGUUGUCGUGGUCGCCAAUACGACGUGAUUUUAGAGGAUUUCCCGUUGUGGCUAUAACAAUUGAAUAUUCUCGAUGGAUUCUAGCGCAGCUUGUAGUACAAAGCCAAUUAGUAAAACUUGGUCAGAAGAUCAUGAUAUUUUGUUCCUGAGGGAAGUUUUGGUCAGUGAUUUAUUUAUCUAUAAAAAAGGAAGCAUUGAAUGGG